CAGAUAAUAAGUGUGGCUUUCUUAAAUGGUGAUAUAGCAUAUAGUAAUUUAUUUACCGUUUCAGUCAAAUACUGCUUACAUUUCAGUGGUUGUAAACUGUUACUUAAAGUAUAUAAAAACUAUUACUUUUGUCUUAGAUUUCAGAAGGUUCUUAGGCUGAAUUGCUGUUACAAUUAAAUGAAGGGGUGUUUGUUUUUCUAUGCCAAAUGAAGUUAUUGGUUCAGUCAAAGUUUUUUAGGAGAAGCAGAGAGAUGAAUGUUGUAACUCAGCCUAACUUCUUGUACAACACAAGUCAUAGGAUUUAACUCAGUGAUGUAUCCAUCCCAAUAACUUCUGCUUGACCUGGAAUAAAAAUGUGUGUAUGUGUACAUAAAAUUCAAUCUUCUUAGAAAGAUAUGAAGUGAUGGAAAAGCUACUGCAUCCCUUGGCAAUCUGUUCCAAUUUGUUAAAAUAAGUUCUCCUAACUCUUCUUCAGACUUUCAUUCAGAUAAGGUUGGAGUCAUUUAAACUGCCUGACUCAUCAUUCCUUUGCCUGCAAAUGUUUUCUGCUUGCCAGCGCUUCCAGCUGCUGUUCAGGUCAUUCUCGCACUUAAUUUCAAGAGUUCAUUGGAACAUCUCAUCCUCUGUACAGCCUCUGGCGUUUUGUUGUAUUUGAAAAAUGGAAAAGUAUUUGAUUGGAUUCCUUAAAAAAAUGUACAUAAGAAAACCUCACGCAAGAAAACAGAGGACAUCUCAGCAUCCAACUGAAGGAGCCUUGUGGUGUGUUGGGGACGUACAAUGCGUGCCUGUUUGUGAUGGCCACGCUGAAGCUUUCUGGGCUACCUGUGGAGGUGCAGCUGACAUAAAUUAGCCAAGGAAGCUGUUUCUUGUGGAGAAAGGAACCACUAGAGGACAUCACCAGAUGAAUCAUAAAGCAAUCAGGCACAGCGAUAAACAGAGAAACUGAGACAAAUGAGAAGCGAUGCAGAAUUACUGUUUCCUACCGUUCCCUGGGGAUGGACGGAGCUAAUCAAUUCUUCCUUAUCACCCAUCAGCAGACAUGGGGGGACGGGACUGCACAAAUCCCUGCAAAUCCUCCUCAUCCUAAUUUUUCAGGAUGCCGGAUCAGAUCUGCCUGGAGAAGCUCUGCAGAGCUGUUCUUACAGACCUGGAGAAGCUCUAGGACCCUUCUGCAGGACAGGGUGUGGAUGAAGCGCCAGUUCUCACCACAUGAGCUCUUGCUUCCUCUCCAGUGCUGAACGUCAGUGAUUUAUGCAGGACAGUCUUUCCAGCAUGACAAAUGUGAACUUGGAGAGCAGUAGGAACAUGUCACACCAUCCCACUAUCCCCUCACAUAGG